rnacentral:tRNA from 1 species
GGGGGUGUAGCUCAGUGGUAGAGUGUGUGCUUAGCAUACAUGAAGCCCUGAGUUCAAUCUUCAGCACCACCU